rnacentral:lncRNA from 1 species
GGGGGUGGGAUUAAUGUGAAUGGGAGGUUUGGAAUGUAACAGUAAUCAAGGAACUCUAAUCAAUGUAAAUCCCUAAAUUUGUGUAACUGAUAAUUUAUGUUUUAAAAAAGGAACUGCAAUCAAAUUAAUUAACUAUUAAUAAUUAAUAAUAUAAAAAUAUAAAGAGAUUAAUCAUUUAUUAAAUUAAAUUUUAAUUAAUUUUUAAAUAAAGUUAAAUUUAAUUGAUAUGUUAUAACCCGUAAAUAAACUGUUAUAAGUAAGAAUAUUUUAAAAGUAUGUUUAAAACCCGUAAUAUUAUCUCUUAAAUGUGUAUAUG